GGGGUCACCGGAGUUUUAACUCCCAAACCCAUGUGACGUUACCAAACUGUUGCCUCGGCGGGAUCUCUGCCCCGGGUGCGUCGCAGCCCCGGACCAAGGCGCCCGCCGGAGGACCAACCAAAACUCUUAUUGUAUACCCCCUCGCGGGUUUUUUUUAUAAUCUGAGCCUUCUCGGCGCCUCUCGUAGGCGUUUCGAAAAUGAAUCAAAACUUUCAACAACGGAUCUCUUGGUUCUGGCAUCGAUGAAGAACGCAGCGAAAUGCGAUAAGUAAUGUGAAUUGCAGAAUUCAGUGAAUCAUCGAAUCUUUGAACGCACAUUGCGCCCGCCAGUAUUCUGGCGGGCAUGCCUGUCCGAGCGUCAUUUCAACCCUCGAACCCCUCCGGGGGGUCGGCGUUGGGGAUCGGCCCUGCCUUGGCGGCGGCCGUCUCCGAAAUACAGUGGCGGUCUCGCCGCAGCCUCUCCUGCGCAGUAGUUUGCACACUCGCAUCGGGAGCGCGGCGCGUCCACAGCCGUUAAACACCCAACUUCUGAAAUGUUGACCUCGGAUCAGGUAGGAAUACCCGCUGAACUUAAGCAUAUCAAUAAGCGGAGGAA
rnacentral:rRNA from 1 species